CACGUAGGGUGCAAGCGUUGUCCGGAAUCAUUGGGCGUAAAGAGCUCGUAGGCGGUCUGUUGCGUCGGCUGUGAAAACCCGGGGCUCAACUCCGGGCCUGCAGCCGAUACGGGCAGACUAGAGUUCGGCAGGGGAGACUGGAAUUCCUGGUGUAGCGGUGAAAUGCGCAGAUAUCAGGAGGAACACCGGUGGCGAAGGCGGGUCUCUGGGCCGAUACUGACGCUGAGGAGCGAAAGCGUGGGGAGCGAACAGG
rnacentral:rRNA from 1 species